rnacentral:misc_RNA from 1 species
ACCAUUUCGUGCACGACAACAAAACGGGGAGAGACCAAGUUGAAUAACUGUCAUUAUAACACUGGAGAAAACCAUAAUUCGGAAAGUUAAGGAUAUAUUAAAAGAAGUAAAACAAUGACAACCUUAAGGCAGCUACCAAAGAAGUUUGGCUGUUUAUUACGACAUGGUUCAAGGAGACAGUUCUCAGUCACAACAAGGGCCUCCGCAGGAGUAAAUUUUGAAUUAUCAGAUGAACAGAAAGAGUAUAAAGAUUUGGCCCAGAAAUUUUGCAGGGAGGAAAUAGUCCCCAAUGCUCCACAUUAUGAUAAAACAGGGGAGUACCCUUGGGAUAUCAUCAAGAAAGCUCACAGUCUUGGUCUGAUCAACAUGCACAUUCCCAAGGAGCAGGGGGGUUUGGACCUGGGAAUCUUUGACACUUGUCUGGUCACUGAAGAACUGGCCUACGGCUGCACAGGAAUCCAGACUGCCAUAGAGGCAAACUCAUUAGGGGUAACUACAUAAACAGGCACCUCAACAAUUGUACUUAUAUAGAGGGCAGUAUGGUUAUGUUUGUUUUUAGACUUUUCAGCUUUUUAAAUCAUAUCUGAAAAUUUAAGAAAGAUCUGAUGGGUAACUUGUUGCCCACCAAGCCUCUUUAACUUAAGAAGAGGAAGAAAUAAUUACAGACCAUAAACAAGAGAUGUCCUUAAUCUUUUCUCUGGUUUAUUUAUAUAUAUAUUUAAUAGAUAUACCCAUGUACAACAUUUCUAAUCCAUAGCAAAUGCCUGUGAUAAUUGCUGGUAACAAAGCUCAAAAGGACAAAUACCUCACUCGUAUGAUCGAGGAGCCAUUGAUGUGUGCAUACUGUGUGACAGAACCAGGGGCAGGAUCAGAUGUAGCAGGGAUCAAGACCAGAGCGGUCAAAAAAGGGAAUGAUUAUGUUCUCAAUGGCCAGAAAAUGUGGAUUACAAAUGGCGGACAUGCUAACUGGUACUUUGUUUUGGCCCGGACAGCAGAAGACCCAAAGACGUCUGCAGGCAAAGCCUUCACAGGGUUUAUUGUGGACAGAGACACCCCCGGAAUCACAGUGGGCAGAAAGGAGUGGAAUAUGGGACAGAGAGCUUCUGAUACCCGAGGAAUCACUUUUGAGGAUGUGGUUGUUCCAGCAGAGAAUGUACUGGGCUCAGAAGGAAUGGGAUUCAAGGUUGCAAUGGGAGCAUUUGAUAAGACAAGACCACCGGUAUGUAAUAGUGACAGGAAACUUUAUCACAGCACUACAUAUUCCAUGGUAGUUGUGUAAGACUACCUAUACACACAAAAGUUUGAUUGACUUGUUUGUAUUGGCAGGUGGCUGCUGGGGCUGUAGGUUUGGCCCAGAGGGCUUUGGAUGAAGCCACCAAGUACUCCAUGGAGAGGAAAACGAUGGGAAAACUCAUUUGUGAGCACCAAGCUGUUGCCUUUAUCCUGGCUGACAUGGCCAUUGGUGUAGAGGCAGCCCGUUUAUCUACCAUGAGGGCUGCCUGGGAGAUUGACCAGGGGAGAAGGAACACUUACUAUGCUUCCAUCGCCAAGGCUCUGGCUGGGGAUGUUGCCAACAAAUGUGCCACUGAUGCUGUACAGGUGUUUGGAGGAAAUGGCUUCAAUUCUGAUUAUCCAGUUGAGAAACUGAUGAGGGAUGCAAAGAUUUAUCAGAUCUAUGAAGGAACAGCCCAGAUUCAGAGAGUAAUCAUAUCUAGAGAAUUACUGACACAAGCCAAUAGCUAGGAUAAUCAAACAAUCUGGUACUGUCGCAGAUUAAAUGGCAGUUUGUGAUACUAUGCUACAUGAAUGUAAUUUAUGCAGAUAUUGACUCCAUCGUAUAUAACUUAUUUCAAUGCAAAUUACAUGCAUAUUUGAUUGGAGGGAUAACAAAAUGUUAAAAUAAAUUUAUCUUGUUAUAUUCUUGAAUCAUUUGAUACUGGUAGCUAGUAAUUAUUUUUUUCAUUACUCAUAUCUUUUUUCUUAUAGAAAUAAACAUGAUUCAUGAU